CAUCAUACCACCCAGAAUGCACUCAAACCCUUCUGAUUUCAGAAGCUAAGCAGGGUCGAGCUGGGUUAGCACUUGGACGUGAGACCAUCAGUGAAUGCCAAAGAUCAUGG
rnacentral:rRNA from 1 species